rnacentral:rRNA from 1 species
GAUGAACGCUGGCGGCGUGCCUAAUACAUGCAAGUCGAGCGAAUGGAUUAAGAGCUUGCUCUUAUGAAGUUAGCGGCGGACGGGUGAGUAACACGUGGGUAACCUGCCCAUAAGACUGGGAUAACUCCGGGAAACCGGGGCUAAUACCGGAUAACAUUUUGAACCGCAUGGUUCGAAAUUGAAAGGCGGCUUCGGCUGUCACUUAUGGAUGGACCCGCGUCGCAUUAGCUAGUUGGUGAGGUAACGGCUCACCAAGGCAACGAUGCGUAGCCGACCUGGGAGGGUGAUCGGCCACACGGGGACUGUGACACGGCCCAGAUUCCUACGGGGGGCAGCAGUAGGGAAUCUUCCGCAAUGGACGAAAGUCUGACGGAGCAACGCCGCGUGAGUGAUGAAGGCUUUCGGGUCGUAAAACUCUGUUGUUAGGGAAGAACAAGUGCUAGUUGAAUAAGCUGGCACCUUGACGGUACCUAACCAGAAAGCCACGGCUAACUACGUGCCAGCCGCCGCGGUAA